UUGGUAACACUAUCCAGUGGUUUCAGAUCUAGUAAAAUGGGACAUCUCCAGCUGUCUCAAGUGUCUUGAAAGAGGUGGUAGAGGUUGAGUUCUGACUGGUCAAAUGAAACGUUUACCAUCGCAGUUUGACCCACCACGGCUGCUGUAGUUAGAAGAAGAUUAAUGGGUUUUGACGUGGAGUAUUUCCGCAAAAACUGAUUGAGAAGCGACAUGUAAUUUAGCUGGUUGCCGUUUUAGCUAGCUAGAUUGAAACGGAUUUUAGGGUCCCAGGUAUACCAUUUUUGUUCGCCCCUCAUAAAACAACAUCAUGAUUAAAGCCAUACUAAUAUUCAACAACCAUGGAAAACCUCGGCUUUCUAAAUUCUACGAGCAUUACAGUGAAGACACAGAACAACAAAUCAUCAGAGAAACAUUUCAUCUGGUAUCCAAAAGGGAUGAGAACGUCUGCAAUUUCCUAGAAGGUGGAAUGUUGAUCGGUGGGUCAGAGAACAAGCUCAUCUACAGACACUAUGCUACGCUCUACUUCGUAUUCUGCGUCGAUUCCUCGGAGAGUGAGCUUGGCAUCCUUGACCUUAUCCAGGUGUUUGUGGAAACUCUGGACAAAUGCUUUGAGAAUGUUUGUGAACUUGACUUAAUUUUCCACGUGGACAAGGUAGAGAAUUAUUUUAUCAACUAUAUCCUAUUAUUUCAUCCUUCCUUUUUAUAUUCACUAUACCAAGGAUGUAAGUCAACCUUGCCCCAAACAGCAGCAUUAAAUGAUCACAAUGAAUGUCUGACUUCCCAUAGAAACUCACUGUGUUAGUGUCAUUUGUUUACUCUAAGGCUGUCUGAAUUCAUCUCCCGUCAAAUCAAAGUUGGUCGCGUACACAGUUUAGCAGAUGUUAUAGCGGGUCCAGCGAAAUGCUUGUAUGCCGCAAAAUCCUUGUAGAAACAGGGCGGCUGUGUCCAUCAGCGUCAUCUUAAUGAUAUCCCUGUGACAAUGCUUCGGCCCUGAUGGCACUUGUCACAAGAAAAUCUAUUGUGAUUGUCUAGCCAAGUCUGUGGCAGCGAAGCAGGAUAUUACACUACUUUCUGCACAGGUUGCAGCAUUUCACACACAGAGAUGCCAUUGAUAUUCAUGUGUACAGAGGACCGAGUUUGUGUAAACCUUUUACCUACAGCAGGUUACAAAAAUGUGAACGGCCAGAAAAUAACCCCCCCCCCCUAAAACAUCUCUAAAUGGGUGAAAGCAAUAGGAUGUUAUCUCAGUCUGAAAAGAGCCUAUAAAUAGAACAUUUUGGAUUGAACCUGUAGGUACACAAUAUACUGGCAGAGAUGGUGAUGGGAGGAAUGGUGCUAGAGACCAACAUGAAUGAGAUCAUCACACAGGUGGACGCCCAAAACAAAAUGGAGAAAUCGGAGGUAAGAGUGGCAGUAAUUCGUUCUGACUUCUCAUACUCCAGGUAUGUGUAGGCAUGUGCGUAUGCUGGAACCUGCAUGCCCCUCCAGUGCCCUUGUGAUGCUCUUGACUCUUGAGUGUUUGUGCUCUCUUGGCCCUCCGCUACUGCACUGCUGAACCACACAGAAUUACAUUUAUCUUCCUUCCUUCCCCUAAGUUAUAAUCAUCAUCAUCACAGACACAAAUGGUCUCUUCUCUGGAAUCUAAAUUUACACAUUGUCCAACGCAUCUGCGGAAUCUUGAUCCUCAACAAUCACACACUCAUGAGAUGCAUUGCUCAUCCCACUCUACAGGCUGGAUAUCUCGUGUUGACGUAUUUGCUUAAACGGGGAGAUGGUGGUAGUGUUUUUUUAUGGCUGUUGAAUGGUUCGUUGUGGUCAGAGAGCGAUGUUGAAUUAACGACAUUCGAUGUUCAUGUCUAGAUAUUAAGGCCUAGACAUGUAUUUUUUUCUCAGAUCUCUUUGAAUACAAUUUCUAAAUUUCAUCAUUCAUGAAAACCGAUUGUUACAGCCAUAGAUAAUUUUAUGGAGUCGUUGCCAUUUACCAAUUCCAGAACAAUGCCAUUAUGACUGACUGGGUGUAUUCUGAUCCCUCUAAAUACAAGACCCUGUGUAUUUUGAAAUUGACACACAAAAUAUUCCAGUUAAAUAAAUGGAUAUGAAGCCAAAUAUUUAAAAGCCACAAAUGUUUAUCAAAGUUAUUUUUGAGGAGUUCUUUUAGGUUUUGUUUGCUUACUGCUCAAUGUAAAGUUACAUGGUGUGACUCAAAAGUCCUACGGAUGUGUAACUUGCUGUUAACGUUAUAUCAAAUUGGUGCUGCACCAUUGGCUAACAUUUACAGAUAUUACCUCACUGUAGCAAUGUGGCUGUAUCUAACAAUGGAAACCAUGCUUUGGUAACCACUUUUGGGCCGUAUUGUGUGGUAGAUUUUUUAAAUGGAAUCAUUAUUGUAUUGUACGCCAAGUCUUUGACUGCUCAACAAACAUCAGAUGUGCUCCGUCUUUUCCUUCUUGGACCUACCCUAGACCGCAGUGUGUUUAUAGUCACGAUCAUUAAAACUUCAACGCUAAUUCAGAGCCAUAAAUAAUGAUUUAAACAAAAUAAAUUCCUAGUAGUGUGUAAAGAAAAAAAAUGGAUAAAAGUCCAUACAAAUUGGUGAAGAAUGAUCGGCUGUAUUUAGUUCACUUUCACAUGCUCAUCAAUAUGAAACAUCAGUGCAGUCUACCUCUCUCAGUGCAGUCUAUCAAUGCGGUCUACGGUCGGUCUUAUCACUUUCUAUGUAUAUAAACUGUAAUUUCUUUGAUCUGCUUUAACAACAUUCCUCAUUCCUCUUUUCCCCUGACCCUUUCUAGUUCUUUCCAUUCUUCUCUCUUUACAGACAUUUAUCUUUCAGUCUCCCAGGCAGGACAGGUAGACACAGGCUGGUAUUGCAGGUGCACCUGCUCGUGCUGUAUCUGCCGUAAAGAACAUGAACCUUCCCGAAAUGCCCAGAAACAUCAACAUCGGAGACAUCAGCAUAAAAGUGCCAAACUUACCCUCCUUCAAAUAGCGGCAUGACCCACUGUGCCGAAGUUGACCAAUGUUUACCAUGCAAUUUGUUUACCAAAAUCUAAACAAAGAUCAUGAAGGUACUGUGCGAAUUCCUUUGGUGUUAAAAAUCAUUCUUUGUUUCCUUGUUUUAAAUGACUGUCAUUGAUAUGGCUAUGUUUGAGAAAAUUAAGUAUUUAUUUAUUACAUUCCUCUACCCUCACUGGAGGUGUUCCAUUAUGUAUUGGCUGCUACAGUAUUGGAAAAUCAUACCUUAGUAGUUUGUAAAACAAACUGAACAGAAUAUUCUUAUAUACAAUAUGAUGGAAUUGUAUUUCUUUGUCUCGUCUGUAUACAACAUUUUAAAUGAUCUUGUCUUAUCAAAUUAUUUUCUCUUGAUUUUAAUCAGUCCGUGUAAGUUUUUUUUCUCCUUUUUGCAACUCAAUAAAGUAUUGAAUAAUUUAA